rnacentral:lncRNA from 1 species
AAUUGCAGUUGCAAACAUAGCAAUUCACAAAUAUCCAUUUCCUAACACACACUUCAAUCAAUCUAAAUCAACUUUUAAUUUCAAAUAGAUAAGUUUCCCAGCAAUAAUUUAAAUUGUUAGCUGCUCUGGUCUAGAGAGAAGACAUUCUGUAUUCACAAAAUUCAAAUCAAUAUAAAAAGUAGGGGAUGGGGGAUUUGAUGGAUAUAGUUGUAACCAAAAAUAUUUUUUAUUUCACAUCUCACUACGAAUAUUAGUAAUUUAAUGAAAUUAAGCACCUGAUUUUUUAGCUCGUAAGGGGAACUCCAAUCUGGUGAAACAUUUGAAUUACUAAACAUGUUCAUCACUAAUUAAAAAUCAAAGCAAUAUAAUUUAAACAACUAGUGACAAAAUAGAACCUUUUGAACUAAAAACUCAAAUUUUAUUUUUCAGAAAAAGAAAUCACAUUCCUCCACAGAGUGGUUAGUAACAAAACUUGAUUAAUACUGUUUUUAUUAAUUUUCAGUUAACAAAAAACAAUAGUAAGUGGUCAUCUGCCACAGUGAUGGAGAGGAGUGGCUCUCUAAUCUAACAUCUUAUCUAACAAAUCUAUAGUUUGAACCAUGAGCUGGUGGCCCAAUGGUAAAUGGCGGAUUGCGAGGUUUUCUUCAAACUAAAAACUAAAGGUCUAGGGUUCGAAACCCACUGCUGGUGUGGAAGCUAAAUUUGUGGUCAAGAGAAGGUUGAAAUGCUUUUGUGAGUCUUCCCGGUCCUUGGAAGAGGUGGAUAAUUGUGGGUCUUCCUGAUCCUUGGAAGAGGUGGAUAACCGUAACUUAGCCACCAGUUAUCUCCCUUUUUAAAUAAGAAAAAAAUAUCUAUCAUUUGAAAAAAAAAAAAAAAAAAAAAAAAAACAAUAUAGUACACAACUAUGAUCUACGUACACAUGUUUGCCAGAUAUAUAAAAGAAACCUAGUACAAGUUGAUCCUUUCUACAUUUUCAUCAAAUUAGUCGAGGUCCUCUUGGGGGUCGAGUAGACUGGGGAGGUGUUGAACGGGAAAACCCUUAAUAAAUAAGCCUCUUGCGGGUUGCACAAGGUUUGAUGUUAACCCUAGUAUGGGGAGGCAUUCCAAAUUGCAAUAUUGUGGGGAGGGCUUGUUUGGGGACGCCCCCUUGUGUUUUUCUUCUUGGCUAAGAAAAUAAGUUAAUAUUAUGGGGAGGGCUUUGUGGGGAAGCACAGCGAUAUAGAAAGAAAUGAUUUUGGAUUUUAGCUUUCUUGACCUUGACUUUGUCAGUGCUUUGUUCAAAUCCAACUCUCGUACUUAAUCCAAGUUGCAUUUUCAUAUUCUUUAAUGGUCAACUUCUAUCCAUAAAUAUCCUCCUACAUGCAUGAUGUUGGCAAACCAGAAGUUUGAUAAAGUAGAACAGGAAAAAUAUGAAGAAUGAUGUGGGGAAAUUCAACUAAUAACGUAUUUACCAUAAAAAAUUUAUAGUUGGAGCCAUGAGAUGUCAUAAUUUUCAUUUAAAAUUAUCCCUAAAAAAGAUCAUUUGAAUCGGAAAUCGUUUAGUCAUCCAAAUGUAUUAAACAAAUUGAUAGUUCAUCAUGCAUAUGUUAUUUGGUAAUCAUAUUGUCAAUUUGUUUCUACAUUUAGAUGCAUAAACGAUCUCCAGUUCAAAUGAUUUUUUUUCAAAGAUAAUCUUAAAAUGAAAAAUAAGAAAGUGAACGAUUUCGAUUAUAAAAUUUAUAAAUAUCAGUUUACUACCCUCAUGUUUCGUGGUUUUCAACAUUUAGUACAUCAAGUUUUUUU